rnacentral:lncRNA from 1 species
ACUCGAGUUCGAUAGUGAAAAACUCUUUCUCCACUUUAUAUUACUGCCCUGGCCAAGGUCUUAGAACUCAGUCUAACAAAUCACAUAGGAUCACUCCUCUUCUAUCAAGGUCGAUAGAUUCCAUGUAAGUGCAUACCCUACUCCUACAGUGAACUUACUGCAGCCAAUCUACACUACAAGGACCCAUAUGACUAGAGACCAUGUAUACGUGUAGUCAAACUACAAUAACCUCACUGUGAGUAGCCGAAGCACCGCAGGUCAAAGGACCAGUCAUACUACUGCAACAUCAAGUAAGUCACUG